AUUGAACGCUGGCGGCAGGCCUAAAACAUGCAAGUCGAACGGUAACAGGAAGCAGCUUGCUGCUUUGCUGACGAGUGGCGGACGGGUGAGUAAUGUCUGGGAAACUUCCCGAUGGAGGGGGAUAACUACUGGAAACGGUAGCUAAUACCGCAUAACGUCGCAAGACCAAAGAGGGGGACCUUAGGGCCUCUUGCCCUCGGAUGUGCCCAGAUGGGAUUAGCUAGUAGGUGGGGUAACGGCUCACCUAGGCGACGAUCCCUAGCUGGUCUGAGAGGAUGACCAGCCACACGGGAACUGAGACACGGUCCAGACCCCGACGGGAGGCAGAAGGGGGAAAAAUGGAAAAAGGGGCGAAAGCCUGAGGAAGCCAGGCCGCGGGAAUGAAGAAGUCCUGCGGGUUGUAAAGUACUUUCAGCGGGGAGGAAGGGAGUAAAGUUAAAACCUGUGCUCAUGGACGUAACCAGAAGAAGAAGCACCGGCAAACUCAGG
rnacentral:rRNA from 1 species